AGGAUGAACGCUGGCGGCGUGCCUAAUACAUGCAAGUCGAGCGGUAAGGCCUCUUCGGAGGUACACGAGCGGCGGACGGCUGAGUAACACGUAGGAACGUACCCCAAAGUGAGGCAUAAGCACCAGAAAUGGUGUCUAAUACCGCAUGUGCUCUAAGGAGUAAAGCUUCGGCGCUUUGGGAACGGCCUGCGCAUGAUUAGCUUGUUGGUGAGGUAAUAGCUCACCAAGGCGACGAUCAUUAGCUGGUCUGAGAGGAUGACCAGCCAGACUGGGACUGAGAACGGCCCAGACUCCUACGGGAGGCAGCAGUAGGGAAUUUUCCACAAUGGGCGAAAGCCUGAUGGAGCAACGCCGCGUGCAGGAUGAAGGCCUUCGGGUUGUAAACUGCUUUAUAUGUGACGAAUAUGACGGUAGCAUAUGAAUAAGGAUCGGCUAACUCCGUGCCAGCAGCCGCGGU
rnacentral:rRNA from 1 species